rnacentral:rRNA from 1 species
UACGUAGGGUGCAAGCGUUGUCCGGAAUUAUUGGGCGUAAAGAGCUCGUAGGUGGUUUGUCGCGUCUGUCGUGAAAGCCCAUGGCUUAACUGUGGGUCUGCGGUGGAUACGGGCAGACUAGAGUGCGGUAGUGGAGACUGGAAUUCCUGGUGUAGCGGUGAAAUGCGCAGAUAUCAGGAGGAACACCGGUGGCGAAGGCG